GACGAACGCUGGCGGCGUGCCUAAUACAUGCAAGUAGAACGCUGAAGGAGGAGCUUGCUCUUCUGGAUGAGUUGCGAACGGGUGAGUAACGCGUAGGUAACCUGCCUGGUAGCGGGGGAUAACUAUUGGAAACGAUAGCUAAUACCGCAUAAUAGUAGAUGUCGCAUGACAUUUGCUUAAAAGGUGCAAUUGCAUCACUACCAGAUGGACCUGCGUUGUAUUAGCUAGUUGGUGAGGUAACGGCUCACCAAGGCAACGAUACAUAGCCGACCUGAGAGGGUGAUCGGCCACACUGGGACUGGGACACGGCCCAGACUCCUACGGGAGGCAGCAGUAGGGAAUCUUCGGCAAUGGACGGAAGUCUGACCGAGCAACGCCGCGUGAGUGAAGAAGGUUUUCGGAUCGUAAAGCUCUGUUGUAAGAGAAGAACGAGUGUGAGAGUGGAAAGUU
rnacentral:rRNA from 1 species